GUCCCUUCCUGGGAUAUAGCUCAGUUGGUAGAACAUGGGACUAUGAAUUUCAGGGUUGUGAGUUCGAGUCUCACCUUGGACA